rnacentral:lncRNA from 1 species
GUCCGCUUUGCUGCUGCCAGAGGGAGUCUGGUGUUUGCGGAGCAGGUGGGGUUGGGAACCGGGUGGGACUUGGCUUUAGAAUUUCCUCUGGCGACCCAGUCUUUCCUCAGGCUUCCUGGAGGGAGCAUCUCCUUCGGGGAUAUUAGUAGCAGCGUUUUAGACUGGAAGAAAGUCAAAAAAUCCCUCCUUGGGGCACUGCAGUCCCCUUGGAGCACUGUGAUACCUGGAGGUGAUAGAGGGAAGCUGAAAAAUUUUAUCUGAGAUGGUGAUGAAGCAGACUGAAAGUAUAUCUUUGCUCUUUGCUUCUCUUGCAGUGGAUGUCACACAUCCUGGGAGAGAAAAGAGAAGCAAGAGUGGGAACUGGGAGCCAGCAACGUGGAAACCCAGGCAGGAGCCCAGCAGUGGGCCUUCACAGGGCUCCUCGACUCAUCACUCUCCGCUAUGGAAAAGCCAGGUCGUCCCAGGAACCCCUUCAGCCACGCCACGCUCUCAGUGUUGCUCAGCCGACCCAGGAUUAAUAUUUGGGGAGAUGAAGAAACAUAUUUCCAAAUCCCAGAG